UCCCUCUGCUGGCUUCACCAUUCUGCAUGCUGAGCUCACUACUUGCAUGUCAUAUUCUGUUGAAGAGAACAGGAUGACAAGGCUUGAUCCAUGUCUGCAACAGCACAGCAGCUGCUCCCCAUCGCUCACAUUACCACCAGAGCUCUGUCUCCUUUCAGCGUUAUGAAUCUCAAAAACCACUGAGUUCGUGCACCACAACUACUGAGCCUGUGCUCUGAAGCCCGUGAGCCACAACUACUGAAGCCCGUGUGCCUAGAACCUGUGCUCUGAAACAAGA